rnacentral:tRNA from 1 species
GGGGGUAUAGCGCAGCGGCACAAGGGCCUGCCUGGCAAGCAUGAGGUCGUGUGUUCGAUUCUCAGUACCCCCA